UACGUAGGGAGCAAGCGUUGUUCGGAUUUACUGGGCGUAAAGGGCGCGUAGGCGGCGCGGUAAGUCACUUGUGAAAUCUCCGAGCUUAACUCAGAACGGCCAAGUGAUACUGCAGUGCUAGAGUGCAGAAGGGGCAAUCGGAAUUCUUGGUGUAGCGGUGAAAUGCGUAGAUAUCAAGAGGAACACCUGAGGUGAAGACGGGUUGCUGGGCUGACACUGACGCUGAGGCGCGAAAGCCAGGGGAGCAAACGGG
rnacentral:rRNA from 1 species